UGCAGGCAGGGGGCUUAGAGCAGGGAGUUGGGGGGUGGGGGUGCAGGAGGGGUUCGGGUUCCGGUCCGGCGCCACUUACCUAAAGCGACUCUAGGGUGGUACCGGUGCGUACUGGGGCCAGGACAGACUCCCUGCCUGCCUGCCCUAGCCCCAUACCGCACUGCUCCGGGAAGCGGCCAACACCAUGUCCCUGCGUGGCCCCUGAGGGAGAGCGGGCACAGGGUUCUGCGUGCUGCCCUUGCCGUGCCUCCAGGUAUCUCCCCCGAAGCUCCCGUUGGCCGCGUUGCCUGGAGGCAAGGGCAACGCACGGAGCCCUCUGCCUCCCCUCUCCUGGGCCGCAGGGACAUGGUGCCGGCCGCUUCUGAGAGCAGCGCGGGGCCUCCAGCACCACAGGGGGCAAUCCUGCGGGCCGGAUGCGGCCCACAUGCCAUAGUUUGCCCACCCCUACUACAGGGCAAUCGUCCUGGGCCAAUCAGACAAUACAAUUACAAUUGCAUACAUAAACAACCAAGGAGGAACAAGGAGCGUAGCUCUAUGUACAGAAGUGAUGGAGAUAAUAGAAUGGGCAGAAAAGAUCCUCGCUUUCCUAAAGGUGUUACACACAGAAAUGGAGAUGAAUCAGGAAGCAGACUUGCUUAGCAGAUGCAACUCAGAAUGAUGCCUGAACCAGGAAGUUGUUUUCCAUCUGAUCUCAGAUAUGCAGUUUUCCCUCGGUUGAUCUGUUUGCAAGUUGCAAAAACACCAAAUGGCUGAAAUACUUCACUAGGGAAGCAGUGGGAAGUGCAACGGGGCACCAGUUCCCAUGGACAGGUAGCCGUAAGGCCUGCUAUGUGUAUUCCCCCCUUCCGUCGAAAGCAAAGUUGGUUGUGAUAACUCUGUAUAGGCCAAGGAGGCCAUGGUUGUACCAUCUGAUAAAGCUGAAACUGAAUUCACCAUUACAACUACCACCCAACAGCUUUCCAAAGCACUCUUCUCCACCCAAAUUGUCUUAAGUUGAGAAGCCUGGUUAUUGAAAGCCUGUCUUCUGAAGUCAUCAGGACUUUGCUUGUUUCCAGGAGAGUCUCCAGGAUAAAAGCCUGUUCCAUUGGGACCAAGUUUAGCCUUUGGUGCCAGGAGAACAAUGCUAAUCCAAGAGAUUCUGGAAUUAGAUCUACCUUUGAAUUUUUCUAAGAAGAGAUGGAUCAAGGUUCUCAGCCCCACACCAUAGCACAACAGGUAUCAGCCAUUAGAAGAGUUCUAUCUUGAAAAUCUUCGGGCUCUUUGGAACAGAAUCCCCAGGUAGCCAGAUUUCUCAGAGCAGUCAGCCUGACCAGACCAGUCUUUCCUAAAUGGGACAUACUGCAGGUGUCGAAGGCCCUAACCACUCACCCUUUUGAGCCUCUCCAGAUCAGCCUUGUGUAUAUCCAUCAAAACCUGUUUUCUGGUUGCCAUCAUAUCUGGUAAUCAUGUUUCAGAGCUAUCUGUAUAGGAAUCCUACUAUAUGUUCCAUGAGGACAAGGUGGUACUGAAAACACCAAACUUUUGUCUCCCGGGUUCUCUUUCCCGUAUCUUGGAAGAGAUUAUCCUUCCUUCUCCCUAAAGCCACAGCACCUGAUUUAGAGGCCGUGGCACACUUUAGAUGUCAGAGCACUGAAAAAUCUCUCACUCUCACAGAAUCCAUGCAGAGGUCAGGUGUUCUGUGUGUCUUCUUUCACUCAAAAUGUUAAGAGCUCAGAAUCUCAAGACUAGAUGGGUCAGAUUGUGCGUUGUUGAGGCCUUACAAAGUGUCAGGGACUCCUGUUCCAGAAGAAAUCAGGGCACAGUUCAUGAGAUCCAUGGCCAGGGGCCAAAUGAGCAUGUACCUCCACUGUAGAGAUAUGUGGAGCACCCACAUUGUCAUGGGUUAACACCUUUUAUCAAACGCUACAAAGUGGAUUUUCUGUCCUCCACAGAAGUCGUCUCCGGCAGGAACAUGCUCCAGGUGGUGGUCUUGUAAUGGCCUUGCCUUUUGGACAAUUCUCAAUGCGGUGGGGAGUCUGUCUCUCUUUUUCAGUUUGCCUUUUCUUGUUCCUUAUUAUUCCUGUUCAUUGGUGACACUGGACUGCAGAAUGGAAAAUUUCGUACUUGAUAAUUUCCUUUCCGCUAACAGCAUCUCCCACAAUUUUACUCACCCAAGAUGGCUUUCUGUCAAGAGUCAAUAUUUUAUUUGGUGUAUUUACCCUGCAGGGAGUUGACCUGGCAUAUGUGGUUAAUGAUUUGGACAUUAAUGUUAGUUAUACUUUUUCUCUUGAGUUUUUCACCCAGCUUUGGAAUGACUUACUUGUUGGCAAGUGGGAGAAGAGGGCAUGGUAUGCUCAAGCCGCACUGCAGCUUUGAACCACCUCCAGAAGCUGCAGAUAGGAAGAGCACAGCCCAUGCAUAGCAGAAUUGUGGGAGAUGCUUCUAGCAGAAAAGAAAUUACCAGGUGUUGAACCUAACCAGGCUCCUGUCCACACAAACAACCCUCUCACCAGAGUUUGGUGCUUUCAACUCAGGCUACCUGUCCAUUCUGGGGGACAGGCUUAAGCCUGAAUGCUGCUUUCACUCAGGCUGAUUACCUGCCAGCUUUUCAGUAUGGAUGCAGGCUGAACCACUUGGGAUAGUCUUCCAGUGCCUUCCCACAGUUCUUCUCCAGGUGUCCAGAAAAACACACAAGUUCUCCCACAAUUCACUGGGAAAGAAUCAUAGAGUCUCCCAUCUUAAUGCAGUGCAAAGAACCACGGGAUCUGAUCCCAGAAGUGCUAGUGCCUUGUAUGGGUUACAUCAAGACUCAACAGGGUCAGAAAUGCACUCGGUCAAUGCAGAAAAUCCAAUUGAGUAAAAGGCUCUGAAAAUCAAAGUUCAUGUCUUCCACAGAAAUGCUCAUCUCUAAUAGAAUAGGAUACUGUUUUGAUGAAUGUGAUCUCUUAUGAAAUCUCUGCAGAUUUCCUGUAGGGGGCCAAUGACUAACAAUACUUUACGCCCUCCUGCCAGCAUGCUGUUCAGUGGGAAUUGGCUGGUCCUCUGGAUAUGCUGCUGCUCUAAGUGAAGAACUAAUGUAAUUUGUGAGAGAAGAUGCUCAUGGUGACAGAAAAGUGUUACAUCAACCAUUAAAAUAGGCUGCAGAUGGCAGGCACUAAGCAGGAGAAGGUACAAACAAAAGCAAGGGAGUAGUCAAAAAGUUUCUCGCCUUAGUUGAUUGUCAUGUUAUGCUACAAAAGCAUGGGAAUAAGAUGGUCAGCAUAAAAAAAAAAUGCAAGAAGUGAAAUUGAAAAUACAAACGUAUAUGUUUGUAACCAGAUUAACUUCAUUCCAGGUUUUGUUUUCCAAAAUUGUGAGUUAGAGAAUGCAGAGGAGAUUAGUAGGAAAGACUUUGAGCCAGUAUUAGUUUACACUAGGUAGCGACACAGAAUGGUUGUGCUUAGUGUGUGUUUAAUGACAUAUUUUAUGCAGUGCUUUGAAAAAGAGCAGAAUGGGUGGAAGCUUAGCUAGAAUUUGCAUAUGGGCUGUUAAAUUUAAAAGAUACUGGUAUGACAUGCACCUCUUUAUGGGGGUAGUGGGGGAAUGAAGAGCUCCUCCCAUUUCUUACAGAAGGUCUGACAAUUGCUGUUCAUGCUUUUGUGAAAACCUUGUAUUAGGAACUGGUUCUUCAUAUGCCAGCUCUGGGCUACAUGGGAGGUGUUUUGCCAUACCAGAGCUGUUCUAAGGCAGUUUCAUUGCUAGGGGCCCAGUACACAUCACCAUAUUGAUCCAACAUCCCUGGGGGAGUGGGGGACUCCUUGUGGUGACCACCACAAGCAGGGGAAGGGUCAUGUUGGGGCAUUGAGGUGGGGUAUGCCUAGAGCCUGGAUUACCUUCAUCUGGCCUGAUCCUGAGAGGCAUCUGGACAAAUAGGAAGAAACAGAAGGAUAGUUGGAGAUGAAGGAAGCAUCUAAGAGCAUUAAACAUACAAACAAAAUGCUGAAGAUGCUAAUUUAGACUAGCUUAAGGACUACAUUUUCUCACGUGGCUGGACAAUGUCUAUCACGUUUGGGCUCCUCACUGACUCCUGCAGGCUCUGGCUUGAAGAUCCAGUUUAACAUUUAAGAUUUGAAGGGUGUAGGUGUUGAAGUAAUAGCCACCUGCUGGUUACUUUUUGCACAGACUUUUUUCAGAAGACUGGUACCAGAUGAAAAACGUUUCCCUUACAUCUUAAACUGGCUUAAAAUCAUGUGCAUGCUUCAUAAACUGAACGUCAUUUCAUAACUAUGAUGUUUGAGCUGUAAAAGUUGUCAGUGGCUCUUUUCCGUAGUAAUGUGUCAAGCAGACAUGAUUCCCCAAGGACAGGCUCCACAGCGGUCCAGGGUUUUGCAUAACAAAACUUUAUGAAGGGUUGUGAAUCAAAACCAUGUUCCUCUGUCAAGGAAAUGGACUUUGAUUUACUCGAUGGGCUAAAAAUUACUAAAACUAGUUCUUAGUAUUCCGUCCCAAAAGAUCUAAUAUUACUAGUAUUACUAUAAUACUAUAUUACUAUAAUAUUACUAUAACUAGUUCUUAGUAUUCCGUCCCAAAAGAUCUAAUAAUCUAAGAUCUAAUAUCCAUGCUUUGAAGCUGAGUUUGUGUGAAAGAGAAUGUUUUCUAUUUAAAUGCAGAAAUUAGAGAUGAGGGAAAACCUAUGUUUGCUAGGCCAUCUCUUUGUUGAUGGUGAUGAUGCAGGAUUCAGUUUCUUUAGAACAAUUUUUGAUCAUGUUUUAAUGUAAAAUCCCACUUAUAAGUAGUUAAAAAGCAGUGGUCUCCAAACUGUGGAGGAAUGUUCGGGCCAGCACAUGGAAGAGGGAGCAUCAUGCUCCACCCCCAGUCCUGCUCCAUCUCUGGUCCAGCUCCACCUUCAGCCCAAGCUCCGUUGCUGAGGAAGCUUUAGCUGUGCAGUAAUGGAGGGGAUCGCAGACAAGAUUCUGGUAAGGGGGGGCUUGACUGGAAAAGUUUGUGCACCACUGUUAUAAAGCGUUAACAUAUGAUGAAUAGAUGUUUUGGUAAGUGUUGGUUCACCUAUCUGAGUUUAGUGGGUUGCUUAUAACCAUCUGUGACCUGCAAUUUUGCACGUAUAACCAUCUAUAAGAUACUACUCAUUUCUAUAAUAUGCUUAUAACUUCUAUUAACCAUUUAAAAACAGAACCUUAAGUUGAAGUGUGAUGCAGUGUUCUACUCUUUUGUCCAAUAUAGUAGUAAAUGACCUACCUAAUAGGGUGACCAGAUUGCAAGAGUGAAAUAUCAGGACACAUUGGGCGAGCGGGUGGGGGGCGCGGGGAGGAGAAGAGACAGACACAGGUGCACAGCCCUGACCAGAGCCAUGAGAGGGGGCAGAUGGAGGGGAGGGGUGUCUAUGCCGCGUCACACAGCUUGCCGGCCCAGCACCCCAGAGGGAUCCACUAUGCCCAGAG